CCUACGGGUGGCAGCAGUGGGGAAUAUUGGACAAUGGGGGCAACCCUGAUCCAGCCAUGCCGCGUGUGUGAAGAAGGCCCUCGGGUUGUAAAGCACUUUCAGUGAGGAAGAACGCCUGGUGGUUAAUACCCAUCAGGAAAGACAUCACUCACAGAAGAAGCACCGGCUAACUCCGUGCCAGCAGCCGCGGUAAUACGGAGGGUGCGAGCGUUAAUCGGAAUUACUGGGCGUAAAGCGCGCGUAGGUGGCUUGAUAAGCCGGUUGUGAAAGCCCCGGGCUCAACCUGGGAACGGCAUCCGGAACUGUCAAGCUAGAGUGCAGGAGAGGAAGGUAGAAUUCCCGGUGUAGCGGUGAAAUGCGUAGAGAUCGGGAGGAAUACCAGUGGCGAAGGCGGCCUUCUGGACUGACACUGACGCUGAGGUGCGAAAGCGUGGGUAGCAAACAGGAUUAGAUACCCCGGUAGUC
rnacentral:rRNA from 1 species